GAUAAGGUUAAGUGAAUAAGGGCGCACGGUGGAUGCCUUGGCACUAGGAGCCGAUGAAGGACGGGACUAACACCGAUAUGCUUUGGGGAGCUGUAAGUAAGCUAUGAUCCAGAGAUUUCCGAAUGGGGGAACCCAAUAUCUUUUAUAGGAUAUUACUUUUCAGUGAAUACAUAGCUGAUUAGAGGUAGACGCAGAGAACUGAAACAUCUUAGUACCUGCAGGAAGAGAAAGAAAAUUCGAUUCCCUGAGUAGCGGCGAGCGAAACGGGAAGAGCCCAAACCAACAAGCUUGCUUGUUGGGGUUGUAGGACUCCAAUAUGGUAGUCUGUUAGUAUAGUUGAAGGAUUUGGAAAAUUCCGCUAAAGAGGGUGAAAGCCCCGUAGACGAAAUGCUAACAACACCUAGGAGGAUCCUGAGUACGGCGGAACACGAGAAAUUCCGUCGGAAUCCGCGGGGACCCUCCCGCAAGUAUAAAUACUCCCUAGUGCCCGAUAGUGAACCAGUACCGUGAGGGAAAGGUGCACCUCACCCCGGAAG
rnacentral:rRNA from 1 species